AUUAAUAUCUGUACAUUGCUCCAAUGGAGGUGUUAAGUCCUUCUUUUAAAGUUUAGUAUAGCCAAAUAAGAAAGACAAGCAAUAUACUUGGUAAGCUCUUCCAAAACAGUAGCAUUACACAAUUCCUCCAUGAACAUCUGCAGAAGUGCUUCCCAGCUUCCCAGCUGAUUAAUUCUACAGCCUCAUCUCUUUCUGAGCCCAUCUCCUUGCGCCCCAGCAUCCUCCACUGCUGCCAUACUAAAUUGCUUGUAAUUCCCUGAGGAAGCUAAGUCUCACCUAUCUCUGCUUUUGUAUGUUUCUACCUAGGAAACACCUCUCCUUCAGAAUGCAGCUCACUGAAGUGUCACACACUUCAUAAAGCCCUUUCUGGCUCUUUUCCCAACACUAUUCUUUACCUUUAUGGACAUCCUUUGGACAUUCCUUGCACCCCAUGAGGGUUCCGAUCACAGGUCUGCAACCCUGGACUGUGCUUAUCUGUACAAAUUUGUUCCUCUACUACCGUUUGGUUCUCUGAGGAUGUGCAGCAGGUCUGAGUGCCAGAACCUAGCACAGCUCUUUGCACCUACAAGGACCUCAAGCGUUGUUUGAUAAAGGAGAAAAACUGACCUCAGCCUGCCAGUCCCAGUAACAGGUUAACAGCAGGUGAUGACAUAGUGGGAAGAGGUGCCUGUUUAAAAUUAUAAUGGAAGUCAGAAAAAGUGGAAUUUACAGCAGCCAACUUUUAGAGAUGUAAGCUGACUUGCCAUUUGUUUUAGAUCUCCCAAUGCAUUACUUUGUUGUUUUUGUCUAGAAAUGUCAUCUGAGAUGAUGCUGUUUAUAUCUUGUCUAUCACAAGUUAUACAGUUUGGUGGUAAGAACACAGAAGCUGGCUUCUCUGCUGCUAUGGUAAUCAUUGCCUGUAAAAAACCAAAAUGAAACAAACAGCUUUUAUCCUUGAGCCCAUUAAAAAAAUAAACAGCUUUGAGAUACUGCCUAAUUUAGGUAUAAGUGUUCACCCCAUAUACUCCGAGAGACAACUAUGAUAAUUAUAAUAGCACAUUCAUUAUAUUCACAAACAUUUGCAAAGCACCCACCAUGUGCCAGACACUGUAAGUCCUGGCAUGGCUCUUACCAUGGGGACUGAGGACAGUAGGUCCUUUCUACCAUGCUGUGGCUGGGAAUGUAGCUGCUUCUUCUCUUCUCCCAAUAUCCAUGGUGUACCAUGCUCUGACCUCAGUCUGAGAUGAAAAGCAUUUAACCAACACCUGAACAUGUGAAGGGAGAAAGCCUCUUCUCUUUUCCCAUGGCUCUUUGAUGAGAGAUGCACCAACCACGGGGUUCAGAGAAAGAGGGAGACCAUCAUCACAGGGAGAUACAAAGGUCUCCCCUGCAUCCUGCCACUGAGCACACUAGCAAGGGAGGUCUAAGGGAUUGACUAGCAUUACAACCCUAUCGGAGGCCGCUCUCACAGAUCUGCAUUAUCUCUACCAAGAAUGUAGAGGAGAGUCCCAUGAGUCCAGUGCCCUGGGGAAACUGUGAAAUGUACUUCCUUCUCCAUCCCAGAAAAGUGAAAUGGAGUGUUUCUUGCCUGGCCAUAAGGUAAAUGCCCAAAAAUCUGUUGAGUGGUUAACUGCUCUAUUAAUUGAUGGAGCAGCUCUCCAUAACACUCAGGAGCAUUCAGAAGAACCAACUGACAGUCAUGCAUGUCAAAGUGCUGCUUGGAGGUGAAGUGUUGUCAC